rnacentral:rRNA from 1 species
UCUGUAUGAGAAGAGUAUAAAGUCUAGCCUGCCCACUGAAAUUUAAAGGGCCGCGGUAGUUUGACCGUGCGAAGGUAGCAUAAUCAAUAGUCUCUUAAUUGGAGGCUGGAAUGAAUGGUUGAACAAGAGAUAGUCUGUUUCUAUUAUAAAAAUUGAAUUUAACUUUUAAGUGAAAAGGCUUAAAUUACCAAGGGGACGAUAAGACCCUAUAAAACUUUAUAAAUUAUUAAUUGCCUUUCGAAUUAAAAUAUAAAGUUGGGAAGUUAAUAUUUAUUCGGUUGGGGCGACUAGAAUAAAAUAGAUAACUGUUCGGAAAAUUAAAUAGGUAUUUUUAGGGAGUUUGAUCCUUUUUUAGGGAUUAUAAGAAGAAGUUACUUUAGGGAUAACAGCGUGAUUUUUUCUGAGAGUUCUUAUCGACGAAAGUAGUUGCGACCUCGAUGUUGAAUUAAGAUUUCUAUAACGUGCAGCAGUGUUAAUAGUGGGUCUGUUCGACCUUUAAAAUC